UACGUAGGGGGCAAGCGUUGUCCGGAAUCAUUGGGCGUAAAGAGCGCGUAGGCGGCCCGAUAAGUCCGCUGUGAAAGUCAAGGGCUCAACCCUUGAAUGCCGGUGGAUACUGUCGGGCUAGAGUCCGGAAGAGGCGAGUGGAAUUCCUGGUGUAGCGGUGAAAUGCGCAGAUAUCAGGAGGAACACCAGCGGCGAAGGCGCUGCUCUGGGCCGGUACUGACGCUGAGGAGCGAAAGCGUGGGGAGCGAACAGG
rnacentral:rRNA from 1 species